rnacentral:lncRNA from 1 species
CUGGAAGCAGUUUUUGCCACAAGUCAGUGUGCUUAAGUUUGUGGAAGAUCGUGAUUUUCAGUCGUUUAGAUGACUUAAAUUUCAAUUUCCUUGUGAAGUUCAGGGUUCUUCCAAAACUUUUUACUGGUCCUACACACUGCAUGAUUUUCGUACUUAUAAUUUUCUGGAAUAUUUUACGUUUUUUUCCUGCAUAAAAAACUUCUUUGUACAAAGUGAUAUAAUAUCAGAGAAAUAAAGCCUUGGUCAGAUUCUUGGUUGUAUUUGUUUUGCAGUGCAGUGGAUUAUUUCAGUUUAACACACCCUCCUGUACGAGAAUGUAGCAUUAUAAAACAUUUAUAAAAUGUCUGGCCUCGGUCUGUGAAAAAAAAAACCCUUCAUUUUGAUGGCUAUGACGACUCGCUUUUGUUGCCAGUGGUUUAUACCUUAAUGGCCGUGUGUUUUAGGUAAAUUCCCAUUGUAGUAAAACGUGUACAGUUACACGUUGUACCAAAGUGUCACGUCCUCAGUGUUGUCCGAAGGAAAGAAAUGUAAUAAAAACAUGCACACGAACGUUUUGUGAUAUACGCCACGCAUCAUUACAUCAUUGUUUUAAUCCCUCUCCGCACUGGACGGACCUGUUCGCUUCCACGGUGCGGAGUUCCAGGAGGGCGACGAAGCCGCAAUAGAAGCGAGGGCGUCAGGUGACCCGCCCCGGUUAUUAAAGGGGAUCGAGGUUGUGUAAAGGUUAAUAUUCCGUCCUUUAAUGCACCUCGCGACGUGGACCACGUCGCUUUGGCAACAGGGCAGUCGGACGGGAGGGACCGCGGCGGGCUGGGUGGGGUUGACUCGCCGCCACGCGCGGAGGAUUAGGUAUUCAGGGACGAGUGGAAAUUUCCCACGGCGCUUGUUUUUUUUGUUUUUUUUUUCCCUUUUGCACGUCGUCAUUAUCCGCCGGGAACGCGCACGGUUCGCCACGGCGCGGUUAAGUGUCACCGCGGAAGCGAAAACGAGUGCAUGGAGGAGCAGGUUCGAACGGGAGACGGGAGCCCAUCUGCAGCUGUAAUCUGAGAGCAGCGAAGAGAGUGAAGCACUACAGGCCUGAUCCCACCUCAGUCAUGGGAGUGAAGGUGUUGCAGUGUUUUCCCUGGUACCGCCGUGGUAAAGACAGAGGGAAAGGCAGGCUCUGCCCCCCACCUGCAGGUAUCCCCUCAACUCCCUUCCACACUGCUGAGUAACAACUUGUUCUAUUGAAUGAAGUGUAAAGUGCAAUCAUUAUUAAUUAUGUGACUUAAUAGCCUCUUUGUUUUGGAUGUUCCUUCCUUCUCAUGUCUUCUCAGUGGCCUCAUGUGAGGUAAAGGCAGAGUUCUCUCCCACCGUGACGUGGGGGUGUGGCAGUGAAGGUGGUGAGACACGUCCUGUCUACUUCUCCCACAAGGCGCACAUAUGCCUCCGACACCAGAUGGAGGGAAAUGUUAUCGACGCCACCUACUGACACCUAGACUUUGUUCCGCAGCCUGCAGUACCUAGUGGUGUAGGCACCGUUCUUCAUGCUCAGAUUUCCAGUCCGCAGGAUGCUUCGUUCUGCAGUCUGUGGUUCUUUAUAUACUUCAUUCUCUGGGCUGCUGUACUUACUGGUUUUUAGGUUUCUGCAUAUGUCAAGUUUGAACUUAUUUUAAUAAUUUUACCCAGUCAGCAGCACCCCAACGUUCCAAAGAUGAUCCCCAUGGUCCUAAAGGAGGAUGUAAAAGAGGACUAUAAAUUAAAUCACAGAAUAAUUAAAAUUAUAUGCAGGAGCCAUGUUUACAAAAUUAGCCUGAAGUGCAUUUUACUGUCUGUCUAAUAUUCAUUUUAAUGAAAGUUGUGAAUGUUCUGCCCUGUUAAUAAGAUGUGUAUUCAUUUAUUUCCUCAAAUGCAUAAUGAAGUCUAAGCCAAGAAAUAAAUGCAUUAAUUAAUGGUUUUGUUUAGCUAUC